rnacentral:lncRNA from 1 species
CAGGGCUUUAGGAAGUGGGAGUGGGCUCAUGGGGUGAGGACAUUGUGCCCAGCACUAAGCAAAGUCUUAAGCCUGUUUCUUGCCUGGGGGAUGUUUAUGCUUCAACACAGUACCUGAAAUAUUGGAUAUUCCAAUAUCCAAGAGGCAGAACUGCAAAUUCCACAAAUCUGUUCUGACACAUGGAUAAACUUUUAUUGACUUGUAAAAAUUCAUCUGAAGUUGUUUGGAGCUGUAUGACAAUGGAUGUUAUUCUUCCGGUUCUCCCAGCAGCUCUACAAAAUCAGUGAUAUACCAUUUGGCGUUAUCCUUGACUUGUUGCCUGAUCACAUUUCCUCCAAAUCCAAUGAAAGCAUCCUAA